UGGCAGGCUAGUCCGGAUAGUCCGGCGUCAUCUAUAACCCGAAAUCGCCGAUAUGCGGGGGACGAAGCCGAUGGAAGAUGUCUGGAUCAUCCCCAAACCUGUGGUUUCAACUGAGAAACUCCGUCCUGCUUGGAUGAUGUUGAUUUAAGGGCUUGUUGGAGAACAUGUCUUUCUAUCUUGAUCGUGGGGACCAGUCCAGGCCCGGAAGGGAGCAGACCAACCAUGAACAACCGUCGCUUGUAGGGUUGCGGGGUGGAGGCGAGGCUGCAGACCAUUUGUGUAUGUGAAUGAUAGCAACCUGAGGCAUGCCUGCCA
rfam:Methanomethylovorans hollandica DSM 15978, complete genome.